CUGCCUAAAUUCGUUGGGGUCUGUCUCGUGACGUAGGGAUAAAGUAGAAUUGGGUUACUAUACUUAAUGUGAGUGCACUAUAUAUUUUAUUAAAUAACCCAGGAGUGAUACCCAAAAUAUAACCACCCUCUUAAAACACCCCUGACACCCUACACUUCCUAAAAUACACCCCGUAUGUGAAAACCGAACCCAAAACAUAAUAUUGUAUUAAAAAUAAAUGAAAAACAGAAAAAGUAAGCUGAGGCGGGCCGCGUAGACCCACCCCAAACCUUACGCGGGCGGUAUGAAGGUUUAAACCUGAAUUCGUUGAUUCUUUAAGGUCAGACGGGCCGCGUAAAGAUCCCCGUUAGUUAACGCGGGCCGCGAGGGAUCUAAAAGGAGGCGCAGGUCUGGGCCGCCACGUGGCCCAACACAUGUCGAAGCUGGGCAAUGACCCGGACAAGCUACCCUGUUGACCAGGGUUGACGCGGGCCGCGUAGGCCCUGCCCUAAUGUUACACGGGCCGCGAGGAAGACAGAUUUCAACACUAUAUAAAGAGGCAUCGGGCCUUCAGUCUGCUUCGUUCAAAAUCAUUUCUUUCUCUCUCAAAAUUAAAUAGUGGGCAUUAUACUCGGGUCUAAUACCCCCUAAUUAGCGAAGCUCUGCCUCGUUGUAAGUAUCAUAACCCAUGGAUACGUAUUAGAUACUCUGCCUGAUUGAUCUAGGGUUCCGUAACGGCUGUCGUGGUUCUGCCCGACGUAGUCGCUGGAAUACCGUCUCGGGGAGGGUAUUACUAAUAUUAAAAUGGGUUAUUAUACUAACGCGUGUGCAUUGUUUAAUUAGACUAUAACCAGGGAAUCACAAAGGAAAGCCUUAUAAUAACAAUGUAACUUAGUGUGAAGCCAAUAAAAGCCAGCUGGAGAGCACUGAAGGCUUGGAAAAGUGGCAAUAAAGUUACCUAAAUAAAAUAGAUGUUUUUACUAAAUAAAAUAGGAUUUAUUCCUAUGAAAAUGUGUGUACUGAAAACUUGGGUUUUAUCCCAUGUGUUUAAUAUUAUGAAAAUAUGGUGGUUUUACUCUGAUAAAAUAUUUCCUAACUACGGUCCUGAUGAAAAAUUCCGCUGCCAAAUUAGACAAUACACGGUACCACCGAAACUGACUCACGGCCGCCGUUCC